rnacentral:rRNA from 1 species
GACGUAGGGCGCGAGCGUUGUCCGGAUUUAUUGGGCGUAAAGAGCUCGUAGGCGGUUUGUCGCGUCUGCUGUGAAAUCCCGAGGCUCAACCUCGGGCUUGCAGUGGGUACGGGCAGACUAGAGUGCGGUAGGGGAGACUGGAAUUCCUGGUGUAGCGGUGGAAUGCGCAGAUAUCAGGAGGAACACCUGAGGUGAAGACGGGUUGCUGGGCUGACACUGACGCUGAGGCGCGAAAGCCGGGGGAGCAAACGGG